rnacentral:antisense_RNA from 1 species
ACUUGCCACAAGGAGACGCUGUUCAGUUUACCGGAUCCUGUCCCGCGCCAGCCAACCAGGACAAGGCCGGGGAGCUCGAGACUGGCAGCCUGGACCAAGAACCGGAAGGAGGAAAAGGAACCGGAGGGAGGAAGAGGAAGAGGAGGGGCGGGACGAGGCCACCCGGCAAGAGUCCAAACUUGCCCGCAGCGACCUAACUGCACCUCCAGUGUCUACCCCCAGAGGGCACGGAAGCAGCAAGAAGGGCGGGAACACUUGACUGGGGUCCAUGCAGCUCUAGGCUGUGUCUUGCAGGGCUGAGCCCCCCAGGCCUGCUCUCAUGUGUCCUAGCCGCUCUGUCAGUGCCUGCCAGUGGGGUCCAGAGGAACCGUCUCUUUAACGUCUCUUUUGCAGUCUCCCGCAUUGACUUCAUAACCAAGUUCUGGGUCCCUGCCACUGGAGUGCCUGAUGAGACAAAACGGCUCCUCGUCCUGCAUCCCCGCUGCUACUUCCAGAAUUCAGGCCUCGUGGCCUGGAGCCUGCACUGUUCCAUGAGCCCCCUGACCAACCUGGAGGCCUCUGUCUUUCUUCCCUCAGUGAGAUGCGCCUACUUCUCCCUGGAGAAGCUCGAGGAAGCAGAAAUGCUGGAGAUGAGCUGCUCCUCACUCUCACUCCUGGGUGUGCUGGGCAGUGGGGUGCAAUGCGCACGUAGGUGCACACGCUCCCUGGGCGGCAGCGAGCAGCAGAGGUCUGAUCUGUGGUCGGAUGAGGAGAGGAAGUGCAAGUAAAGCAGCUGCAGCGACCCAGCACACGCUGCCUGCAUGGCGCUGUGCUGCACCUUCACUCUGGUCACGGGUCUGGCAGUCGGCUCACCAAUUCCUCCCGCUUCCCUGGGACUCGCCGGCUUUUAGCACUGCAAUUCACUCAGCAAACUGGGACUGUUGGUCACCCUACCUGGCAGCCAGUGAUAAGGUGAGGGCCACUCCUGGGAGGGAGGACACCUGUGGGGAAAAUUCUUGUUAUUUAUUUCUCCUUCAGGAUAGGGUGCCUGCAGCGCUUCAUGGGAGGGGGUGGGCUGAUGCUGCGGACUCAGAAGUUUCAAGGGCAUCUGGGGAGACCAGAUAUUCAGAGACCUUCUCCUAGAUGUGCCUGUUCCAUGUAUCAGGGACGCAGGUUUUCCCAACAGGGCUGGUGUCAUUGGCAUGACAGACCUGCCUUGGCUGAGCAUUCACCCGUCUUUGGAGUUCAGCCACCUUAGCAAGUCCUGGGUUUGUUCUUCAGACUUUGCUGCUCGCCCAUUGCCUGGAUCGGGGGCUACUUUGUAAACCACCAGGAAGACUCCAGUGUUUCUGCUUAAUUUUUAGAUGUUUGUUAAUUGCUCUUGGUCUCUCAUUAAUCCCCUGUGGGUCAUCCAGGAAACAUACUCACCACUGUCUGUUCUCUGAGUUUUCAUUUCCAGGCAUCCGCCCUGCCUGGAUCUCCUCACCUGCCAGGAACUUCCUCUCCACAAGCCGGCCAUCCCAGCAAAAGUUCUAACACCAAAGGUCUGGCAACUAGCCUGCCAUCUUGUGCCUGGAGCCGCCUGCGUGCCACCUACUCCCGAAGAUGGGAACCUUGUUGCCAGUCGGGCAGAUGCGGGGCAAUCCUGUACCAAGACCCCAUUUUACCACCUGCUUUCUCAGACCACUCUGGAACCCACUGUCUCAGAUUGUGUCCUCCAGGAAGCAGACCAUGAGAGGGAGUUGGCAGGGCCAAAGAUUUACUGGGGCUAACUAACACUCAGGAAAGGGAUAGGAAGGAAACAGGGCUGGAGAGCAGGUUGAGCCCGACCUGACAGUCUCGAGCAGCCCAACAGGGAGGUGUGGAGCAAGGGUUGCCCACUAGAGGGGCCUGCAUUGGGUACGGGUGAUGGGGUCCACAUGGUACCUGGCAUAUAGCAGGCUGUGCAAUCCAUAUUAACUGACUGGAUAAAUUAAUGCCCAGAAAAGGUGCCCUGGAGAAUGGGUGUGUGCUGAACACAAUAGGGAAGGGCCCAGCAUCUGCCUUGGCAUAGGCAGAACUGUGCUGUGCCCUGCAACAGGCCACCUGAGAGCUGCUUUGAUCUUGUGUGUGCAUUAGACGACUGCCAGGGGCAUGAAGGGGAUGUGCUUCCAGGGCAUUUGCUGGCAGGGCGUCUCGUGAUCUCUUGGUAUUGGUGUGAGCACAGCCUGGCAGGAGAGGGCAGAUCUCCGUGCAAAGUACGUCAGAAAGCAGAUGGAAGCCAGGCCCCCUCCUGAAAGAGGCUCCUUGAAGAGACAGAGAAGAGUCCAUGAGAAUCAACAUUUUCUGAGGACUCCAACUGUGUGCCAAGAGAGUUCCCCUGCUGGUGCCUCCUCUGUAGUAAACGAAAGGCUCCUGGGACCACAUUAUCAUUCUCUUCACUCGAGAGAUGAGGACACUGAAAUUCAGAGAGGGGAAGUGAUUUGCCUCAGCUUGUACUAAAGAAACAUUUCAACAGAGAACCCAGUGGAAAUUAUGACAUGUUAUCUUCUCAGAGUCCUGAACUCCCAUCCCUACCUCAGAAGAGACUCCUCUGUUCACAGAAGCUAAAGGCAGUUCCUUCCCAAUGGCAACUAUGUUUGGAUGUUGGAUCUACGCUUUCUCAAGCACUGUGAUCUUCAAAUUUUUUCAGGAAGAAAGAGAGAAUCAGUAACAUGGCAUUGAAGGUACCCAUUGACAGUGACGUGCAUCACAGCAUUAACAGGAGAAAUGCUUGUGUGUGCAAAUGGGAGACAAAGGAAAGGGACCACCACAUCCAUGGGGUGCACCACGUGAGAGAAAUGCUCAGGAAGGGAAUUGACCAGAUUGGCUGUGGAGAGAAAAGAGAAGGAACAUGGGAGGCAGAGCUGAGCAACCAGGCUUUCACUGCUGAGUGUCUGAGCCAGCUCCAUCGUACAACAGGAGUGAGGGAAGUACCUGCUUCACAAGGUUGUCAUAGCCAUCAAAUGGGAUCACACUCUAAAGGCAGUUCUGGAGGCCAGAAAUCAGAAAUCAAGGUGUCAGCAGGUCCAAGCUCCCUGCGAAGGCUCUAGGGGAUAAUCCUUCCUUGCUUCUUCCAGCUUCUGGUGGAUCCAGGUGUUCCUUUGGCUUGUGGCCGUAUCACUCCAACCUCUGGCUCCAUCUUCACCCUUACCUACUUCCCUGUGUAUCUUGAAUCUCCUGCCACUCUCUUAUAAUGACACGUCAUUGGAUUUAGUGCCUAUUUGGA